rnacentral:rRNA from 1 species
AAGUCGAGGGGAAACGGCAGCUUAGCUUGCUAAGCUGGACGUCGACCGGCGCACGGGUGAGUAACGCGUAUCCAACCUGCCCCACGGUGAGGGAUAACCCGCGGAAACGCGGCCUAAUACCUCAUGGUCUCCGAGUUUGCCAUCAACCUUGGAGUAAAGAUUCAUUGCCGUGGGAUGGGGAUGCGUCUGAUUAGCUUGUUGGCGGGGCAACGGCCCACCAAGGCAACGAUCAGUAGGGGUUCUGAGAGGAAAGCCCCCCACAUUGGAACUGAGACACGGUCCAAACUCCUACGGGAGGCAGCAGUGAGGAAUAUUGGUCAAUGGGCGAGAGCCUGAACCAGCCAAGUAGCGUGCAGGAAGACGGCCCUAUGGGUUGUAAACUGCUUUUAUGCGGGGAUAAAGCGGGCGACGUGUCGCCCUUUGCAGGUACCGCAUGAAUAAGGACCGGCUAAUUCCGUGCCAGCAGCCGCGGUAAUACGGAAGGUCCGGGCGUUAUCCGGAUUUAUUGGGUUUAAAGGGAGCGCAGGCCGGGUAUUAAGCGUGUUGUGAAAUGUAGGCGCCCAACGUCUGCACCGCAGCGCGAACUGGUGCCCUUGAGUACGCACGACGUUGGCGGAAUUCGCCGUGUAGCGGUGAAAUGCUUAGAUAUGGCGAAGAACUCCGAUUGCGAAGGCAGCUGACGGGAGCGCUACUGACGCUCAUGCUCGAAAGCGCGGGUAUCGAACAGGAUUAGAUACCCUGGUAGUCCGCGCGGUAAACGAUGGAUGCCCGCUAUUUGCGCAUUAGCGCAAGUGGCCAAGUGAAAACGUUAAGCAUCCCACCUGGGGAGUACGCCGGCAACGGUGCAACUCAAAUGAAUUGACGG